UACGUAGGCAGCGAGCGUUUGUUCGGAGUUACUGGGCGUAAAGGGUGCGUAGGUGGCUCUAUAAGUAUGGUGUGAAAUCUCCCGCUUAACUGGGAGGGUGCGCCGUAGACUGUGGGGCUAGAGUGUGGGAGAGGAAAGUGGAAUUCCGUGGUGUAGCGGUGAAAUGCGUAGAUAUCAGGAGGAACACCGGUGGGUGUAAACGGCUUU
rnacentral:rRNA from 1 species